UGGGGAAUAUUGGACAAUGGGCGCAAGCCUGAUCCAGCCAUGCCGCGUGAGUGAUGAAGGCCCUAGGGUUGUAAAGCUCUUUCACCGGUGAAGAUAAUGACGGUAACCGGAGAAGAAGCCCCGGCUAACUUCGUGCCAGCAGCCGCGGUAAUACGAAGGGGGCUAGCGUUGUUCGGAUUUAUUGGGCGUAAAGCGCACGUAGGCGGACUAUUAAGUCAGGGGUGAAAUCCCGGGGCUCAACCCCGGAACUGCCUUUGAUACUGGUAGUCUUGAGUUCGAGAGAGGGGAGUGGAAUUCCGGGUGUAGAGGGGAAAUUCGUAGAUAGUCGGAGGAACACCAGUGGCGAAGGCGGCUCACUGGCUCGAUACUGACGCUGAGGUGCGAAAGCGUGGGGAGCAAACAGG
rnacentral:rRNA from 1 species